GGAAGUAAAAGCCGUAACAAGGUUUCCGUAGGUGAACCUGCGGAAGGAUCAUUACAGUAGUCGCCCGGGUUGCCGCAAGGCCUCCCGGGUAACCUACCACCCUUUGUUUAUUACACUUUGUUGCUUUGGCAGGCCUGCCCUCGGGCUGCUGGCUCCGGCCGGCGAGCGCUUGCCAGAGGACCUAAACUCUGUUUGUCUAUACUGUCUGAGUACUAUAUAAUAGUUAAAACUUUCAACAACGGAUCUCUUGGUUCUG
rnacentral:misc_RNA from 1 species